AGAUGUGGCUUAGUUGAUAAAGUACUUGCCUGGCAUGCAAGAAACCCUUGGUUCUAUCCCUAGUAUUU
rnacentral:tRNA from 1 species